UCUCUUUGCAAAACGUGUUGAAAGUUUGUACGUGGCAUUAUUUAAAAAGUUUAGAUGCGUCUUAUGAAAAGAUUCAGGAAGUUCGCACUGAACAUAUAGCAUAUGUAGGUAACUGUCAGCAACACUGAAAUUCUUAGUUUCUUAAAAAUCCUAUGCCAUUGGAAAAAACAAAGCUGAAAAAAACAGGACCAACAGCUACAAGAAACUGAACUGGGCCAAAGAUAUACCCUUCACCCACAGUUCUUUUUAAAGGGUAUAGUUGGGCAUCAUACAGAGGUGAUGUGCUGAGAUCUGCUGUCGUCUGUCAGGACACCGUGUCAACAUUUUGUGAACUGUCAACCAUUCUCCAAACCUCAAAACCACUGAUGACAUGUGCUGUAUCUCCCUGGCAAGCUGACUGAAUGCAGCUUCAAAGGGUCGUGACUGCUGGUUCACUUUCAUGAUGAGAACGUACUUGGAAGUUUACAUUUUGUGGCAGGAAUCGUGGACAAGCACUGCAGAGCUGCCACUUCUUCACUCUGGAGCUUUCAUGAUUAUUUAAUCUUUUCUGGGUUUUUUUUUUAAAAAAAGCACAUGAUGAUUAAAUAAAAACCAAUUGCUGUUCAUGAAACAAGUCAAGUGUAUUAGCAAUGGUGUAUUAGUUUAUUCUCAUUUAUAAAAAAACGAUGAAUUAACACCACCAUACCCUUUCAGGAAGUCUGGCCACCAUUUAAGUUUUCUGCUAUAUUUCUCUAUGUAGGAUAAUACCAGAGGGGUAGAGUACCUACAAUAACAAUAUUUUUUUUAUGCUGCCUUUAGUUUCUUUAGACAGACAGACAUACUAAUACAUAUGAUUUAUGUAAUAAUUGUAUGACAUUUUCUUUUGCAAUUGACAACUUCAAACACCAUCAUGACUCAUUCCACUAUGUGAAAGAAUAGUGAUCCAUUUAGACAGUUUUAAUUUAAUUUAUGUUGGUAUAAAUAGUUUUAGAACAUCUAAUUUGUAGAGCAAAUCACAUGCAACAAAAAAGGACACUGCAUCGUAAAGAGCCUGCCCUAUUUAUACAUUUUAUAGGGACUGUUUUAAAGUGAAUAUAAAUUGAAAUGUCACGUUAAAUAAAGGAUCUUUACUAGUUGCUAUAAAAUUUUUAAAGCCCUCCCACAGGUUUUAUUAACAGAAGCAGAAGACCUUUUUAAAUCUGAGUCCAUUUUAUUUAC